ensembl:lncRNA
GGUGUUUUGAUCAGGAUUUCUUACCUUUUUCUUCAUUAGAGUAUCCUACAGCACUUCAGGUUAUCAAAUGCUCAUUCCAAGUUUGUGCAUGCCAGAGCAAUUGUAAAACUGAAGGAAUGAGGCCUGACUAUUUGGGUUAUAGCUGUCCACGCACGUAUGUUUAUGCUGACAACCCAUCUUUCAACUGGAUGAGGACAGACCUUGCAGGAUGUGAGGGCUGGAUUUUGUGCCAUCUUUUAAGCGAGCAGAGUUCAGCUGUUGCAAUGCUUGGCUUCCUUUAGCUGAUCAGGGCUUCCAUCCAAGACUUUCUAGGCAUGCCGCUGUGUGAGGAGAAUGGGACCUGCCAGUGCUCCAGACUGGGAAUAAAUUUGUCCUGCUGUAUUUACUCUUCCAACCAUGUUCACUAGAUGUACAGAGUUGUAGCUUCACUCUGUGAACGUGGGCUACAUUCUCUCACAUUAAUGGAGAACAUGAAGAGGGAGAGAAAGUUUUCAUUUUAAUUCACCAUUAUGCAACUCAUUUAUUUUGGUUAGUUUGGGUGCCAUCGGUGUGUACUGCUGUCUUUUGCAGAGGAAUAUCCUUCUUGUGUUGAACUGCUUUUGUAUUAAUUUUUCACUUAAUUGUAGCUUGAAAUGGAGCAAGGGUGUACAGACCUAGGGCAGAACUGGCAUGGUGAAAGAUCUAUUGGAACUGUACUGGGCAGCUGCUGUCUAAGAUAGCUUAUGAGGGUUUGAUUGUAUGUGCUUUAUUGGAGUUAGCAUCUCUUUAUGGUAAAAGCUUCCUUUGUUGUCAUUUUAGAAAUGGGAAUUCUUCCACUUCUCUAUUUGUUAUAGCAGUUACUUCAGUGUUAUUUUCACUAAAUAAACAGU